UGGGGAAUAUUGGGCAAUGGAGGAAACUCUGACCCAGCGACGCCGCGUGCGGGAUGAAGGCCUUCGGGUUGUAAACCGCUUUCAGCAAGGAAGAAGCGAAAGUGACGGUACUUGCAGAAGAAGCACCGGCUAACUAUGUGCCAGCAGCCGCGGUAAUACAUAGGGUGCAAGCGUUGUCCGGAAUUAUUGGGCGUAAAGAGCUCGUAGGCGGUUCGGUAAGUCGGGUGUGAAACCUCCAGGCUCAACCUGGAGACGCCACCUGAUACUGCUGUGACUAGAGUCCGGUAGGGGAGUGUGGAACUCCUGGUGUAGCGGUGAAAUGCGCAGAUAUCAGGAAGAACACCAGCGGCGAAGGCAGGUCUCUGGGCCAAUACUGACACUGAGGAGCGAGAGCGUGGGGAGCGAACAGG
rnacentral:rRNA from 1 species